GCAAUAACCCCCGCCUAAUUUCGGCCACAAUCUCCUCCUCAGGAAUUUUUGUGGGAAGACGAUGAAACAGUGACUCAAAAUUUGCAAUAAAUUGCGAAACAGGCUCUCCAAACUGUUGUUUUGUCGACCUGAUUUUGUCCCAGAGAUUCCUUUCAUAAUCCACAGGAAGAUACGUCUCUUUCAAGGCACUGACUAAAUCAGCCCAUGAAGUGAAAGACUCACGCACAAAAUGGUUGUGCCACCAGGUAAACGCUGGUCCCUCAAAAAGGUCUGAUGCUGACAAAAACAAAUCCUGAUCCGAGCAGUUUCGCGAAACCUUUAAUGUUUCCAAUUUUUCGAGGAAACCAACCAAAUUUUCCGUACCGGUAAACUUCUGUAGAUUCCAUUUGUAAACAGGAACUAAUUUUGGGACUCCUACCUGUGGUAACCUAAUAGGCGAAGCAAUUGGUGUAGAGGCUGGUGCCUCUGCAAUAUCAUCCUGCUGAGGUGUUACUUUCUCCUCCAAUACCCCUUCUAACAUUGACAACUUCGUCGUGAGUUCCUUUUUACUUUUUUGUUCCUGCUCCGUAUUUGUUUCCAUACGUCGCAGGCGGUUGGCAACAUGACUUAGACGAUCAAUAAGUGUCUUAUACUGUGACGACUUGCGGCUACCAACGAAAGUCUGAACAAUUUCAGUAAUAUUUUGGACAGACUCUGAAGUUUGUUUGAAAUUUUCAGCAAAAUCUAUAUCCAUGCUAAUGGAAGAAGUGCUUCGAUUUGAAGACUCUUGAGUAAGAAGGCCACGUAACAGUUGUCUUCUCUCUUCCGCAGUUUUGGGGACAUCUUGACCUCUAAUUGAAAUUUCGUACGCUAACUCACUGGACUUAAGAUGAUUCGGGUUGAAAGGCAAAGGCAUUGUGAAAAAUUUGGGAAGAAAAAACAACCAGCAAAAGAAAAACUCACUUAGUGGCAAAAAAACAACGACUGAACUAACCCCAGUAACACAUAUACGUAUGUUAUGGUAUGGUCAAUAUAUGAAAGUAAAUAAAUUACUGAGUUAAUAUCAAAUCAUUAAAUAUUAAAAUAAUGUAAAUAUCCAUAAUAUGCAAUUCAGUUGUAUCAGCGAGAGACAAAUUACUGACUAAUUAUGAAUUAACUUGUAAGCAAA
rnacentral:lncRNA from 1 species